AUUGAACGCUGGCGGCAGGCCUACCACAUGCAAGUCGGGCGAGCGGCGGCCGGGUGAGUAAUGUAUGGGGAUCUGCCUGCUGGCGGGGGCUAACUAAUGGAAACGGUAGCUACUCCCGCAUACCAUCAGAUGAACCCAUAGUGGAUUAGCGAGUAGGUGAGGUACCGGCGUACCUAGGCGACGAUCCCUAGCUGGUCUGAGAGGAGGAUCAGCCACACUGGGACUGAGACACGGCCCAGACUCCUACGGGAGGCAGCAGUGGGGGAUAUGGCACAAUGGGCGAAAGCCUGAUGCAGCGACGCCGCGGGGGGGAUGAAGGCUUUCGGGUUGUAAACCUCUUUCGCUAUCGAACGGGUAGGUGGAGAAGAAGCGCCGGCUAACUACGUGCCAGCAACCGCGGUAAUUC
rnacentral:rRNA from 1 species